rnacentral:tRNA from 7 species
AGCCGGGUAGUCUAGUGGUCAAGGAUCCAGGGCUUUGGCCCCUGGGACCAGGGUUCGAAUCCCUGCCCGGCUACCU